rnacentral:rRNA from 1 species
CGCGUAGGUGGCCUUCUUAGUCAGACGUGAAAUCCCCAGGCUUAACCUGGGAACUGCGUCUGAUACUGGAAGGCUCGAGUUCGGGAGAGGAAUGUGGAAUUCCAGGUGUAGCGGUGAAAUGCGUAGAUAUCUGGAGGAACACCGGUGGCGAAGGCGGCAUUCUGGACCGAAACUGACGCUGAGGCGCGAAACGUAGGGAGGCAAACG